rnacentral:tRNA from 1 species
CGGGAUGUGAUUCAGUGGUCUAGAAGCCGUGAUUUGGGGUCACGGAGUCGUAGGUUCAAAUCCUACCAUCCCGACCA